rnacentral:rRNA from 1 species
UACGAAGGGGGCUAGCGUUGUUCGGAAUUACUGGGCGUAAAGCGCACGUAGGCGGGUAUUUAAGUCAGGGGUGAAAUCCCAGAGCUCAACUCUGGAACUGCCUUUGAUACUGGGUACCUAGAGUAUGGAAGAGGCGAGUGGAAUUCCGAGUGUAGAGGUGAAAUUCGUAGAUAUUCGGAGGAACACCAGUGGCGAAGGCGGCUCACUGGUCCAUUACUGACGCUGAGGUGCGAAAGCGUGGGGAGCAAACAGG